CCCUGCCCAACUGCUGCGUGAUCCAUCAGGAUGACUUCUUCAAGCCCCAAGACCAAAUAGCAGUUGGGGAAGACGGCUUCAAACAGUGGGACGUGCUGGAGUCUCUGGACAUGGAGGCCAUGCUGGACACCGUGCAGGCCUGGCUGAGCAGCCCGCAGAAGCCUCGGACACCCACAUCCUCCUCCUGGAAGGCUUCCUGCUCUACAGCUACAAGCCCCUGGUGGACUUGUACAGCCGCCGGUACUUCCUGACCGUCCCGUAUGAAGAGUGCAAGUGGAGGAGAAGUACCCGCAACUACACAGUCCCUGAUCCCCCCGGCCUCUUCGAUGGCCACGUGUGGCCCAUGUACCAGAAGUAUAGGCAGGAGAUGGAGGCCAACGGUGUGGAAGUGGUCUACCUGGACGGCAUGAAGUCCCGAGAGGAGCUCUUCCGUGAAGUCCUGGAAGACAUUCAGAACUCGCUGCUGAACCGCUCCCAGGAAUCA
rnacentral:lncRNA from 1 species